AGCGAACGCUGGCGGCAGGCUUAACACAUGCAAGUCGAGCGGGCGUAGCAAUACGUCAGCGGCAGACGGGUGAGUAACGCGUGGGAACAUACCUUUUGGUUCGGAACAACACAGGGAAACUUGUGCUAAUACCGGAUAAGCCCUUACGGGGAAAGAUUUAUCGCCGAAAGAUUGGCCCGCGUCUGAUUAGCUAGUUGGUGAGGUAAUGGCUCACCAAGGCGACGAUCAGUAGCUGGUCUGAGAGGAUGAUCAGCCACAUUGGGACUGAGACACGGCCCAAACUCCUACGGGAGGCAGCAGUGGGGAAUAUUGGACAAUGGGCGCAAGCCUGAUCCAGCCAUGCCGCGUGAGUGAUGAAGGCCCUAGGGUUGUAAAGCUCUUUUGUGCGGGAAGAUAAUGACGGUACCGCAAGAAUAAGCCCCGGCUAACUUCGUGCCAGCCGCCGCGGU
rnacentral:rRNA from 1 species